GCGGCGGACGGGUGAGUAACAUCUGUGGGCAACCUGCCCUGCAGACUGGGAUAACUUCGGGAAACCGGAGCUAAUACCGGAUAACACCGAAAACCGCAUGGUUUUCGGUUGAAAGGCGGCUUUUAGCUGUCACUGCAGGAUGGGCCCGCGGCGCAUUAGCUAGUUGGUGAGGUAACGGCUCACCAAGGCGACGAUGCGUAGCCGACCUGAGAGGGUGACCGGCCACACUGGGACUGAGACACGGCCCAGACUCCUACGGGAGGCAGCAGUAGGGAAUCUUCCGCAAUGGACGAAAGUCUGACGGAGCAACGCCGCGUGAGCGAAGAAGGUCUUCGGAUCGUAAAGCUCUGUUGUCAGGGAAGAACAAGUGCCGUUCGAACAGGGCGGUACCUUGACGGUACCUGACGAGGAAGCCACGGCUAACUACGUGCCAGCAGCCGCGGUAAUAC
rnacentral:rRNA from 1 species